UACAGAGGGUGCGAGCGUUGUUCGGAAUCACUGGGCGUAAAGGGCGUGUAGGCGGUCAAGUAAGUGGAAUGUGAAAUGCCCCGGCUCACCCGGGGACCUGCAUCCCAAACUGCUUGGCUUGAGUAUGGGAGAGGAUGAGGGAAUUCCUGGUGUAGCGGUGAAAUGCGUAGAUAUCAGGAGGAACACCGGUGGCGAAAGCGGCUUGCUGGGCCAGUUCUGACGCUGAGGAGCGAAAGCGUGGGGAGCGAACAGG
rnacentral:rRNA from 1 species